GGGGAAUAUUGCACAAUGGGCGAAAGCCUGAUGCAGCAACGCCGCGUGGAGGAUGAAGGCCUUCGGGUUGUAAACUCUUGUCUUCUGGGACGAUAAUGACGGUACCAGAGGAGGAAGCCACGGCUAACUACGUGCCAGCAGCCGCGGUAAUACGUAGGUGGCAAGCGUUGUCCGGAUUUACUGGGCGUAAAGGAUGCGUAGGCGGAUAUUUAAGUGGGAUGUGAAAUACCCGAGCUCAACUUGGGUGCUGCAUUCCAAACUGGAUAUCUAGAGUGCGGGAGAGGAGAGUGGAAUUCCUAGUGUAGCGGUGAAAUGCGUAGAGAUUAGGAAGAACACCAGUGGCGAAGGCGACUCUCUGGACCGUAACUGACGCUGAGGCAUGAAAGCGUGGGGAGCAAAC
rnacentral:rRNA from 1 species